UACGUAGGGGGCUAGCGUUGUCCGGAAUCAUUGGGCGUAAAGAGCGUGUAGGCGGUUCGGUAAGUCCGCUGUGAAAGUCGGGGGCUCAACCCUCGAAUGCCGGUGGAUACUGUCGGGCUAGAGUGCGGAAGAGGCGAGUGGAAUUCCUGGUGUAGCGGUGAAAUGCGCAGAUAUCAGGAGGAACACCUAUUGCGAAGGCAGCUCGCUGGGACGUAACUGACGCUGAGACGCGAAAGCGUGGGGAGCAAACAGG
rnacentral:rRNA from 1 species